rnacentral:rRNA from 1 species
AUUGAACGCUGGCGGCAUGCUUUACACAUGCAAGUCGAACGGUAACAGGGAGCUUGCUCCGCUGACGAGUGGCGAACGGGUGAGUAAUGCGUCGGAACGUGCCGAGUAGUGGGGGAUAACGCAGCGAAAGUUGUGCUAAUACCGCAUACGUACUGAGGUAGAAAGUGGGGGACCUUCGGGCCUCACGCUAUUCGAGCGGCCGACGUCUGAUUAGCUAGUAGGUGAGGUAAAGGCUCACCUAGGCUACGAUCAGUAGCGGGUCUGAGAGGAGGGUCGGCCACACUGGGACUGAGACACGGCCCAGACUCCUACGGGAGGCAGCAGUGGGGAAUUUUGGACAAUGGGCGAAAGCCUGAUCCAGCCAUGCCGCGUGUCUGAAGAAGGCCUUCGGGUUGUAAAGGACUUUUGUCGGGGAGGAAAUCCCCAGCGCUAAUACCGCUGGGGGAUGACAGUACCUGAAGAAUAAGCACCGGCUAACUACGUGCCAGCCGCCGCCGUAAUAC